rnacentral:rRNA from 1 species
GGUGCAAGCGUUAUUCGGAAUCACUGGGCGUAAAGGACACGUAGGCGGGAAGCCAAGUCUGAUGUGAAAUCCUAUGGCUCAACCAUAGAACUGCAUUGGAAACUGGUUACCUAGAGUAUGGGAGGGGGAGAUGGAAUUAGUGGUGUAGGGGUAAAAUCCGUAGAUAUCACUAGGAAUACCUAAAGCGAAGGCGAUCUCCUGGAACAUUACUGACGCUAAGGUGUGAAAGCGUGGGGAGCAAACGGGAUUAGAUACCCCGGUAGUCCACGCCCUAAACGAUGUUCACUAGUCGUCGGGAUGCUAGUCAUCUCGGUGAUGCACUUAACAGAUUAAGUGAACCGCCUGGGGAGUACGGUCGCAAGAUUAAAACUCAAAGGAAUAGACGGGGACCCGCACAAGUGGUGGAGCAUGUGGUUUAAUUCGAAGAUACGCGAAGAACCUUACCAAGCCUUGACAUUGAUUGAACGGACCAGAGAUGGACCGGUGCCCUUCGGGGAACAUGAAAACAGGUGCUACACGGCUGUCGUCAGCUCGUGUCGUGAGAUGUUGGGUUAAGUCCCGCAACGAGCGCAACCCUCGUCAAUAGUUGCCAGCAGGUUAAGCUGGGCACUUUAUUGAGACUGCCUUCGCAAGAAGGAGGAAGGUGAGGACGACGUCAAGUCAUCAUGGCCCUUAUGGCUUGGGCUACACACGUGCUACAAUGGGGCGUACAGAGAGUUGCGAUACCGUGAGGUGGAGCCAAUCUCAUAAAGCGUCUCUCAGUUCGGAUUGAAGUCUGCAACUCGACUUCAUGAAGCUGGAAUCACUAGUAAUCGUAGAUCAGCAAUGCUACGGUGAAUACG